CAGGAUCUCUGAUUUGAUGAUCUCCUCGAUGACGUCCUCCAGAGUGACGAUGCCCAUCACCUCGUAGAAAGGAUCGCCUUCGCCCUCGUUGUUCACACGCUGCACGAUGGCGAGGUGGGACUUCCCUGGAGGAAACGAUUUCAGCUCUUUUUCUGCGUCAUGGAAGUUUUGGACUGAAGCAUCAUUAACAGUUGAUGUAAAUGUUCCAGUUCCAGUUUAAGAGUGAAACAGAGUCUCGUCAGGAUCUGUGUUCAGCUUCCAGUCUGUCUACACGACGUCAUGCCUGGCACUGAGGAGGUUCCCUGGACCAACAUGCUGCUGCUGCCGUGGUUGUUCACAGCAGGGAAGGUGUUACUUGGUCGAUUUUAUUUUUGCCAGACACAGUGUUUAGCAUUCAGGCCAAAGAAUGGCUCUGUGGGCUCAGCAGGCCAGCAGCCUCCAUGCUACAGCUCUACAGUGUCUUAAAAUUCACUCACAUCAGGGCAUUUUGUAAGACCAUAAUGCAUUUAUUUUAAAAACAGGAAAGAUUUGUGUUUUAGUGCAACGUGAGCUUGUGAACAGAUAAACAACUCUGCACUGCAUUUUAGGCUUUGGUGAUAUCCAGGUAUUACUGUAUGGUGGAGUAUUUAGAAAUAAAAAUACUCCUUCCUCUGGUUUACCUUAAUAGAUGCCCUAGAGAGGUGGUGUAUUGUAUUGCACAGCACGUGUCACCAGAGGUCAGUAUCUAAUGCUGGAACCGACAUCUUGGCUGAGAAAGAUGGCAACUAUGCCUCAGGACUAGCAAAAAAGAAAAAUACCUCUGCCCCUGUUUGAGAGCAUUUUGGUUUCAGCCAACGCAGACGAAGCCCAUUCUGAACAAUAUGUGUUAAUCAGCCACCCAAAACUGACCCACAACACCAACUGAAGGAAUCCUAACCAUAGCUGUGACAUUAAUAUUUUUUAUUUUGGACAUGGUGGCUUAGUGGAUAAGGCUUUGGGCUUAGGUUCAACCCCAGCACCACCAAACUGCCACUGCUGGGUCCCUGAGCAAGGCAGACGUUUUACAAAUUCAUGCCGUGUUCCUUGUCCCUGUUUUUAAGAUUAUUCCACUACCUGUUUUAAAUCUAUUACAUGUGAAUAUUGAACUGAAGCAGGAAUUUAAAAAGACUGUACUACAAAACAAAUCACAUUAUCUGUCAAAAAACUGCAUUGAGAUAUUUUCCCUCAAUCACUAAGGCCUACUUUUAGUGAUUAUCUUACAUCAGGUCAGAUAAGAGAACAGAUGAUAUCAGAUUUAUUUAGUUGUCAGGCUAAUAUUUUAAUAUUAAACAUAAAGUUGUGCUAAUUGUUUUUCUACAGCAAGACUUUGUGCUGGUUAAACACAGCGGCUUGGUGGUUAGUACUGUCGCCUUGCAGCUAGAAUAUCCCCGGUUCAUGGAGUUUGCAUGUUCUCCCUGUACAUGUGUGGGUUUUCUCCAGGUUCCCCAACUUCCUCCCACAGUCAAAAACAUGCUGAGGUUAAUUGGUAGCUCUAAAAUUGUCUGUAGGUGUGAAUGUGAGUGUGAUUGUUUGUCUCUAUAUAUGGGUCAUUCCAAAAUUGGAGGACAUUUUAUGUCCCACCCAUAAAAUAUCAAAUAUUCCAUGUACAAAAUACUGAAACAUGCAGUUGUUGUGUAAAUUUACUGGUCCUGAGACCAAAUCUAAAAAAAACUAGGAGAAAAGAAUGUUUGAAAAUAUUUUUAAAAUACCAAAUAAGUCUGGAGUUCCCCCCAAAAAAUGAAAAUGAAAAUGAAAUUUAAAUCUCCCUUUUUUUCCUCCAUUGAUGUCUCUUGUAAUUGUGGGAAAUAUUUUAAAUAACUGUUAUGCAUGGAACAUGUGUCCCACAACAACCCUGCUAGCAAAACCUUUUUAGCUGGUAGAAGAAGAAAAAAGGGACUCACAUGAAACGCUGGAAUUAACAUCAUCAAACAUUUUUCCAAAACAAUGGAUAGAGCAAAGCUAUGUCCUCUCUUCUAUUUUUCAUAUUUUCAUAACAUUCUCAGCCUUCAUUGAAUGUCUCACUCUACCUCAUAUUAUCAGGAUCAGACUAAUUCUUUUGACUGUUUUCCAUCAGUCAGUUUUUUUAACAUUAGCAUGAUUAGCAACCCUGUUACUGUGAUUAGAGUAGGGUUAGCAAACAACAAGUAAAACAUGGAAUAAAAAUGGUACCAUUGAUGUGUAAGCUGAGCCAAUCAAGCCUUUGAUAGUUUAUUACCUAUUAUUGAUGAAUAUGUAGCAGACACUCUGAACUGUAAAAGAGGAAGUUUAAUUUUCAAACAUUUUGAAGCCCAAAUGUCCUCCAGUUCUGGAAUGACCCUUAUGUAGCCCUGUGAUAAACUGGUGACCUGUCCAGGGUGUCUUCUGUCUUCACCCUAAGCCAGCUGGGAUAGACUCCAGCCCCCCUCGACCCUAAUGACGUUUAAUUAGUGUAUAGAUGAUGAGUGGAUGGAUGUUCUUGCCAUUGCUGCUCUACACCUGACAUCAGUUUCACACCUCCAGUCUGAUGUCAUCCAUGAACUGAGAUGCUUUAAAUGGUGAAUCUGCUUCAGUAUUUCUGUACUUACUGCUGAUAUUAAAUUGAUUUUAUGUGCAUAUGGUCAUAAAGUGGUUUCUACGAGCUGUAGAGGAUGAACACAGAUAUGAUUGUUGUGUCACGUUGCCACAAAGAGAUCUAGAUGAGAUUAUCCACACAACCAGAGGAUUAUAAACAAGGUCUUUCCCUCUGUGUUGCUCUCUCUCUCUCUCUCUCUCUUCCUGCUCUUUUUCCUCUCUCUGUAGCAACACUUUCAGGCACUGCGGCAGAAAAAUGCAGCCCUUCACUUUCAGUUCAGUGAGACUCCUGCAGCAUCUGAUGCUGACACAGAGGGCUCCAGGGGGAAAAAAACAAACAGCUAUACAGGGUGUUGAUAUUAAAAAUGUCAAACUGUGUUUUAUCUUCGGCAUGGAGCUUAGAGACACAAGACGGCAGAAUAUGUUUGGGUAUUUUUUGCUACUGUGAAGGUGAAAUCAGUCUGGCUCCUGACUUCCAGUAGCAUAAAACUCUUGGAUGUGUUUCUAAAAUUUGAACUGCUGUGCAAUGCUUUCAAAUGUGACUGUGAUGAAUAAUCAUUUGUGAUUUUUUUUUAAGCUAAUAACUAACUGUCUUUCACUAUUUUAGUCUGAGUGGCAUAUUCGUCAAUUUAAAAAAAAAAGUUUUAUUAGUAAUCUGCAGUUGGUGGCACAAGAUGGCGUGCAAUGUGUUGCUGGAAUAGUUGGCUACUUAACGGUUUAUUCAGUGUUGUUUAUGUAAUUGGGGGCUAAAUGUUGUUGGCUUGGAUGGCUGAUUAAACAUUUCACCAGAGUAUGCAGUAAAUUACAGUCUUUGCAUGGAAAGAAGAGUGAAAGUUGAGCUUCUGGUGAUGGAAGUCAUUGUAGCAUGUAUGAUAAGUGCCCUUUUUCCUUUUAGCAAAUUCAUUUGUUAUUGUUGGCUGAUGGUGGUGCGUUUGAUGGCUGUGCUUUUAUAGCACCUAAUGUGUUUGAUGCAUUUUGAGGUUUGGAUGGAGGAUGAAAGUGUUUCUCUCUUUAGCCACAGCAGCCUUCUUUUGAGGGAGAAUCACAACCUGAACUUGACUGUCUGUAUUCUUCUGUUUUAUUUCUGUAAAUGAUACAAACAGGAGACAAAUAAGCUGCGAACACACACUACUGUUCAAAAGUUUGGGGUCAUUUAGACAAUUUCAUGUUUUCCAUGAAAGCUCACACUUUUAUUCAUGUGCUAACAUAACUGCACAAGGGUUUUCUAAUCAUCAAUUAACCUUUCAACACCAUUAGCUAACACAAUGUAGCAUUAGAACACAGGAGUGAUGGUUGCUGGAAAUGGGCAACCAUCACUGCUUUUCUUUCAAAAAAUAAGAACAUUUCUAAGUGACCCCAAACUUUUGAACAGUAGUGUAUACGGACAGAAUAAGCAAUAAAGACAUUUCAGAAUUGCCAAACACAAGUUAUACACUAUUGAACAAAAUGAGGAAACGGCAAGCAACAUUUUUUGGACGCAUCAUAACGAAAGAGACGCUAGAAUAUAUCGUCACAAGUGGAAAAAUAAAUGUGAAGAGAUGCCGAGGCAGAGAGAGAAUGAAAAUGAUGGACAGACUGGCAUCAUGGCUCCACAUGGAACAGUCAAAAAGCAAAACAUCGGAAUAGAUGGAGAGAAAUGAUCGCCUACGCUGAAUAGCAUCACUGAUUGAUUGAAGUACAGAGAUCAAACCGGUUGGCAGGUUUAGAAAAUCUUACCAGCCUUGGAUUAGUAAAAUGUUUUAAAAGUAAUGUCACUGCUACAUAAAACAUGUUAAAAACAAUGUUUAAAAUACUGUAUGACUAUCUACAGCAGUGAGCAGAAAUGUAAAUAAAAGAGCUGUCAGAUGUCUCCUGGUCAAGGUGUCCUGCUCUGCUCCCUCCUCCCUCACUUCCUGUCCUCACUACAAACAGAGAAAACCAGAAAGUGCUGACAGUGCAGGUCCCUGAGCUUGUAGGAAGGCAGUGAUAAACAGCGAGGUCUGUGAUUGGCCACUUCACACCCCACCCAUUUAAAGCUUUACAAUAAAGCAGUUAGGCCAGCUGACCAUGCAGGAGGGAACUCUGGUCUGCUGCAGCAGCACUGCAGACUGGGUUUAACCUGUUAUUGGUGCAGACUGCAUGACUCCUCUCAGCUCCAAAGAUACGCAUCGCCUAAAGUAUUACAUCACUUCAAUAUUAAAUACAGAGGAGCCCCAGUGGAGCAGGAGGAGGUUUAAGUACUGUUCUGAAACACAGCUCAGCUGUCUGUUUGGAUGUAUUCGGCCAGUGCAGAGACUGAAACCAGCAGCUUUUACAGCACAGUUCAUCCUUUUCAACAAAUUGUCUGGGUGACCCCAAGCUUUUGAACAGUAGUGUAUAUACAUUUGUCAGGUGUCCGAAUGUAAAGGCCACUCUGCAUCCUGCACUGUCACCUGGAAUCACCCCAGACUUACAAGUUGCCAUAGUAACUAGCCACACAUUAGAUGUGUUUCACCACUAACUCAGAGAGAAGUCCAAUCUAAAUUCCCUGCUGCAAAAUACUGGAUCACAUUCAGAACUGUAGCUGAUAAAAGCAUUAGACAGAAGUAUGAAAUACUAUAAACUGCAGAGAAAAGUUUCACUGGAGCCUAACAUGGAAGCAUGAAUCAGUAUAUGGAAAGGUUUAGGUACGUUUAAGACAUUAAUCCCUGUUGCAGAGGUUCUCCACCAACAUCUUAAUUUGUGUGAAUGACCUUGGGUUGGUUCUGCUGUCUGUAGUCAUAAUUCAGGUAUUUACUAAAUAUAUUAGAGAACAAAAUAAGUUCGAUGAUUGCAUAUAAACAUGAUCUAAUAUCCUGAACUGCACUUCUUCUCACCCCAGAUUUGUGGCCCCUCCUCACCUUUCUUGAACUCCUCCAGCAUGGCGUCCAGCUUGGUGUCGUUGAAGACGCAGUGCAGCGGGUGUUUGUAGAACUGGGUGAUGGUCUUCAGCGGUGUGCAGUCGUCCGGGUCCACGAAAGCCAGGUCCUUGACGAACAGGAUGUCCACGAUGUUGGACCUCUCGUUCUCAAACACCGGUAUCCUCGUGUAUCCGCUCUGCAUGAUCUCAGACAUGGUGUUGAAGUCCAGCACCACGUCCGAGGCCAGCAUGAAGCAGUCGGUGAGCGGCGUCAGGACGUCCUCCACGGUUUUGGUUCGCAGCUCCAGCGCUCCCUGGAUGAUGUUGAGCUCCUCUUUGACCAGAUCGUGGUACGGGUCGGUGACGCGCAGCAUCUCCAGGAGCUUCUCUCUGGUGUAGAAGUUUGAGAUCUCCUGGUUGAGGAUGAGGUCCAGCAGCUUGCUGAUGGGGUAGGAGAUGGGGAAGGAGAGCACCAUCAGCAGCCGCGUCACCCAGAUGGUUUUGGAAGCGAUGGCCAGACCGUGGCGCGACGCCACCGAGUGAGGAAGGAUCUCCCCGAUGAAGAAGAUGCCGAAGGCGCAGAUGACCGUAGAGAGCCAGGUCAUGCCCAGGAUCUGGCACAUCCACACGGCCAGAGAGGCGUUGAUGAUCGCGUUCCCCAGCAGUAAAGUGCACAGGACGUAGUUUCCAUGCCGACGCACGGACUCGAUUUUCCGCGCGUAGUUCUGCUCCGUGUCGGUGCCGCUGUUCUGGAGAACCUGCAGCUCCACUGGGUCCAGGGCCAGCAGGCUCAGGUUGAGUCCGCUGAACAGAGCUGACAGCCCGAGCAGGAGGACUGACACCAACACCUGCAGCCAGAGCUCCGGCACCGCUGAGCGCUCAGUCACGGCCACCCAGAAAUCCCUGGUCCGGUAAUGUUCCCAUUUGGAUCCAUCGAAGGCGCACAUGGAGUAGUAUUUGAUCUUCUCCCCCCUCCGCAGGUCUUUGGCCAACAGUUCCACCAGCACCGAGUUCUGACUGGAAGCAGACUUGAAAGAGCCUAAAACCUCGAUGUCGGACGUCCUGGCGUUCUUGUCCAUGCACAUAUUCCGCUUCGGGUGAACUUGUCCCUCUCUGCCGGGAGUUGGCUCCUCGAUGAAGGCGAUCCAGGGCGCGGCAUUAUUGGCGCGUUUCCCCGCGGUGCGGUUGAGCCUCUGCGGGGAGGUGGAGUAGUAGACCCGCAACAUGAAGCGGGUUCCCUCGGUGGCUUUCAGCACCCCGUCCUCCACGGACAGCUCCGCCCCGGUCUCCUCCGGCCGAAAGCCGAGCAGACCGAGCGCCGGAGCGGGAAGCAGCGAGACGAAGAGCAGCAGGCGGAGCGGAGAGAGCGGAGCCCGGGGAGACAGCGGGGCUCCGCUUCGGUACCGCGCGGCCGCAUCCUCCGCAGCCAUGAUGCGGUGUGAGAGGCUCAGUCCAGGGAGCCCGGGUCACGUGGUGCUGCGUGGUUCCGCUCCAUGUGGGGAAGGAGGGACCGUAGGACCCGUUAACGGCGCUGGUGAGGAUUCUGCUUAACCGGCAGAGAGACGCGCCUCCAACACGCCGUGACGUAACUUUCUAAUAAUAGCCUCGAGCUGUGAUGAUCAGCGACACUGCUGAGAGUUUAGAUUGUUUACUGCUCAGACUGAGUCGUUUCUUUAAUCACAAUACAUCACUGUAAACGA